rnacentral:rRNA from 1 species
AGGAAUAUUGGUCAAUGGACGAGAGUCUGAACCAGCCAAGUAGCGUGAAGGAUGACUGCCCUAUGGGUUGUAAACUUCUUUUAUAUGGGAAUAAAACAGGGUAUGCAUACCCUCUUGUAUGUACCAUAUGAAUAAGGAUCGGCUAACUCCGUGCCAGCAGCCGCGGUAAUACGGAGGAUCCGAGCGUUAUCCGGAUUUAUUGGGUUUAAAGGGAGCGUAGGUGGAUUGUUAAGUCAGCGGUAAAAUGUCCGGGCUCAACCCGGGCCGGCCGUUGAAACUGGGGGUCUUGAGUGGGCGAGAAGUAUGCGGAAUGCGUGGUGUAGCGGUGAAAUGCAUAGAUAUCACGAAGAACUCCGAUUGCGAAGGCAGCAUACCGGCGCCCUACUGACGCUGAGGCACGAAAGCGUGGGGAUCGAACAGG